rnacentral:rRNA from 1 species
GAUGAACGCUGGCGGCGUGCCUAAUACAUGCAAGUCGAGCGAACAGACGAGGAGCUUGCUCCUCUGACGUUAGCGGCGGACGGGUGAGUAACACGUGGAUAACCUACCUAUAAGACUGGGAUAACUUCGGGAAACCGGAGCUAAUACCGGAUAACAUGUUGAACCGCAUGGUUCAACAGUGAAAGACGGUCUUGCUGUCACUUAUAGCUGGCUCCGCGCCGCAUUAGCUAGUUGGUAAGGUAACGGCUUACCAAGGCAACGAUGCGUAGCCGACCUGAGAGGGUGAUCGGCCACACUGGAACUGAGACACGGUCCAGACUCCUACGGGAGGCAGCAGUAGGGAAUCGUCCGCAAUGGGCGAAAGCCUGACGGAGCAACGCCGCGUGAGUGAAGAAGGUCUUCGGAUCGUAAAACUCUGUUAUUAGGGAAGAACAAAUGUGUAAGUAACUAUGCACGUCUUGACGGUACCUAAUCAGAAAGCCACGGCUAACUACGUG